AGGCGCGAGCGAGAUCAUUGAAUAUUAAGCACGACCCGGCCCGGCGGCCGCGGCCAAACCCUCCUGGUGCAAUACCCAUUUUCUUUAUGAAAAGUUCAAGGUGUCACUGAUGAGCUCAACAAACUGUUGAUCCUGACCACGUGGAGUGGCAGACGGAGGGACCGCGGGGCGCGGUUGCUGGCCCUGAGCGGGUGGCACCCCAGAUCCCCGCGUCCCUCUCGCAGCACGAGGGGUCGUGCUCGGGUGGGGCCGCCACGCGCCCAGGGCGCUGCCUGCGCUUUCUCCCUUCUCCCGGCUCAGGGAAAUAAUAACUAAAAAAAAAAAAAAAAUUUUUUUUUUUUUUUAAAGCAAGACACGUUUUUGCUCCUGGAAUAGUAAUAAGAGGGCUUGGGGUAGGGAGGGUGAGAAAGAGCCCCCACUUAUAUAACGACUUGAAAUUAGAUGACUUUUGCUGGGGAGAUUCGGGGAUUUGCGCUUGCGCCAGGUCUGAGGUUAGUUAAAGAUCCUCAAACUUUUUCCCUUAAGAGCCAAUAAACAAACAGACGCCCCGGGAGCUGACUUAAACUCUUGUCGGGCCGCCGUUCGCUGGGAUUCUCAGACUCGGAGAAAUGCACACCCCUGCGGCGCUCGCAGGGAAGUCCCUCGGAAGCUGGGCGGGUCGCUUUCGGAACUGGGACUCUGGCGUUCCCGGCUGGAAGAGAUCCCUAACUGCCGCCCCCUGGCUCCCCUCGGGCGUUUUAGAGUACGGGCGGGCCAAGCUCUCGCUGCCCUUCGCUCGCGGCGCGGUACCCGUGAACUUGCGUUCUGGGCGCGGCGUUCCUGCAGCAGUGCUACGCUGAGGAGCCCUAAGGAAUUCGGAUCCCGGGGACGCUUCGGAAUCUCAGCGGGCAACCUGUCUGCGCCGCACAUUCCUGCCCGGACGGACCCGGUUCCCCUCCAAGGGCAUGUGGACGCGUCAGCCUUUCCCGGCUUGAGCUGGGCGCAGGCGUGCACUAGCAGAACCGGGCCGAGGGAUGUUGUCUGGGGUCUACUUCUGACAGUCUGAGCGCAGCGAGAAAACAAAGGGAGCCUGGGGCUGGGAGGCUCUGCGGAGUCCCCGCCCGCCCUGAGGAUUAGCAGGCGCGGAGCGUCGGGGCUUCCCGGCCAGCCUCUGCUCCGGGGAAUUAGAACGAACUCUAGCGGCGGUUUGCGACGCAGCUCUGGGCGCCAGGACCGCAACAGGUGGCCGUGCGCGGCGGAGUGGCCAGAGGCGAGGACGGGGACUGGAGUGGGGACGGCUGGCCUAGGGGGCUGACUGCGUGGCCAAGGCACUGGGUGACCUUUUGACAUUUUUGUUUUCUAGACUGGGGACAAAAAACUGGCUGAACAACGUUUUUCUAGGGUCUCCCCUGGGGCUCCAAUUUCUCUAACAGAGCUCCUUGGGUCUCCAGAAGUUUUGACAAUAAAAAUAGCUCAUAUGCAAAAUUUUCUUACUGGUCUGCACCUGUUUGUUCGGUUAUUGCUCAUGUGGGGUCUGUCUGUUGGUUUUGUUUUUUUGUUGGUGGUAGUUUUUUGGGUUUUUUUUUUGUUUGUUUGUUUGUUUGUUUUAAUGACGCAGACAACAAGGCCCUGGCCUGGGAGGGGUCUCUUGUGUGAUGCUCACAGACCCAAGAAGCGAUGCAUCACAUCGCUGAUGCAGCUCUUAACGUAUUCAUUAAGAACUUCUUCGCAGACCAUGACCCAGAUCGUGUUGCAUCUUUCUCAGACUCAUUUGAUAACUUCUAAGAUCCUAAUGUAUUUGCCAUAAACAUGAGAAUCUAAGAAUACUGUUUUAUAUUUCUUCCCCCAAGGGUGAGCCAGAAGAAUACAGGGGGAAAAAAGGACCCCCCUGCCAAAUUUAAUAAUUUUAUAUUGCUUACCCUUGACUCUUCCAGGUCAUUUCGCUCCCCGUGCCCCAAAGUAAGUGCAGCUCUCAGUUUGUUUCCUCGGAAAUUAUGGAAGCCUUAAGGAAACUGUUUCCAUUUUGAGACUGCAUCUCCUCUUGAUGGCCCAUCACUUAGCAUUUUCUGUGGAGUAGAUGGACCCUUAUCUGAUAUGAUUCAGGAGCUUUGGAAUCCAUGAUGAUAAAGGGACCCCUGAAAGAGCCUUGGGGGCCUCCAGGAUCCUUGGAUCACCUUUUGAGAACCACUGUUAAGAAUCCUGCCAUCAUUCUGUGAGAAGCCCAAACUGCAUGGAGAGGCCACAUGGAAGAAAACCAGGAUUCAGGGGACAACAGCUCCAGCUGAUUGCUGGCUAACACCCAGUCAGACUACAGCCACAUGAGUCAUCUUGGAUGCUGUAGACGAAUUGGCCUUCCAGAUCCACUUCCAACUGAUCUCUGCAGGAAGAAGCAUUCUGAGAUCACAGAGAAGCUGGAUUCAGCCUAAAAACUGCCCCUGCCCACAGGUCCCAGAUACUGAGCCGAUGAAUGCCUUCAGUCAGAGCCAUUUACUGCUGUGUCCGUGCAUCAUCUGAAACCAUCCCGUGCGCCACACGUGUUACCAGCACUGCACGUCUCCUACCCCGCUGACGCCUGUCUGCCUCUCACGGAUCCAUCAGUGAGUAUCGUUCCCUCUGAGAGCAUAAGGUUAGUUUGAGGAACUCGAAAUGUGGUAGACGCCAACUAACUCAUUUUCUUGGCUCCCGUCUCUGCCCUCAUUAUCCCCGCUGUCACCGAAAACACGGAGCUUGCGAGGUCUUUUCCCCACUUACAAUCUGGCCGUUGCUUCCCGUUUCUCUAGGAUGGCACGGGUCAUCUUGCCAGUCUGGCUUUCCAGCCCAGUCUUCUUUCUCCCUUCUUCUAACCUUGUCCUCUUAAGACUCAGCAUCGCUGGGUUCCUGGUCACUGCCUAAAUUUGCUAGUCUUUUCCAUCCUUGUACAUGGAACACCCUCUACCUGGGAUGCCUUCACGCUUCCUAUGCUGCAAGACUCAAAUCAAACGUCAUUUCCUUUGGGGAGCCUUCUGCUCCUCCCAGGAGAGUGAAACCUGCCUCUUCUGAAGUCCUACAGAAUAUUGCAUUUUCCUCGAAUUAGAAUUGCUGCCUUGCAAUCCAGUCCCUUCUUUGUAUUUACCACGGCCACUUGGCUGUGAGUCCCUCAGGGAUGGGUCAUUUGCCAGGCAUCCCUGUCCUCGUGUCUUACCUAACACGGAGUUCGUGGUAGGUAGAACUCUGAGAUGGCCCCAGGAUCCCUCGCCCCUGGUUAUUCCAACACUAAGCUAGGCACUACUGUGAAAAGGUAUUGCAAAUGUAACUAAAGCCUCAGAUCAGUUGACCUUAAAAUCCGGAGAUUAUGAAGAUUAUCUGGAUAGGCCUGAUCUAAUCAUGUGAGCCCUUUAAAAGCAGACAGAUUUUUCUGGCUGGUUGAAGAAGAAGUCGGAGACAUUCAAAGCAGGAGAGGGAUUUCACACAGGGGAAGUUCUCCGUGGCUGCAAUGGAGGGUCCCACGUGGCAAGGACCUGGGAGCCACCUCUAGGAGCUGAGCGUAGGCCCUGGCUGAUAGUUAACAAGACAACGGGGACCUUAGGCCUACAGCCACAAGGAAAUGAAUUCUGCCAAGAGCCACUGAGCUCAGAAGAGCACCCUGGGACCCAGACUAGGCCUGAAGCUCUGGCUGACACCUCUUUUUUGCCCAGUGAGACCCCGAGCAGAAAAGUCAGUGGUUCCAUGUCCAGACUCCUGCCCUACAUGUUGUGCAGUGAUGAAUUUGUGCUGUUCUACACUGCUCAGUGUCUGGUAAUUCCUCACACGCCAGUAGAAGACUGAUAAAGGAUGGAUGCUGAGUAAAUGCUGAAUGAAUAAAUGCAUGGGAACAUGUA